rnacentral:rRNA from 1 species
UACGUAGGCAGCGAGCGUUGUUCGGAGUUACUGGGAGUAAAGCGUGCGUAGGCGGUGGCCCAAGUCUGGUGUGAAAUCUCCCGGCUCAACCGGGAGGGUGCGCCGGAAACUGGGUCGCUCGAGUACUGGAGAGGCAAGCGGAAUUCCUGGUGUAGCGGUGAAAUGCGUAGAUAUCAGGAGGAACACCCGUGGUGUAGACGGCUUGCUGGACAGUCACUGACGCUGAGGCACGAAAGCGUGGGGAGCAAGCAGG